rnacentral:rRNA from 1 species
GAUGAACGCUGGCGGCGUGCCUAAUACAUGCAAGUCGAGCGAACAGACGAGGAGCUUACUCCUCUGACGUUAGCGGCGGACGGGUGAGUAACACGUGGAUAACCUACCUAUAAGACUGGGAUAACUUCGGGAAACCGGAGCUAAUACCGGAUAACAUGUUGAACCGCAUGGUUCAACAGUGAAAGACGGUCUUGCUGUCACUUAUAGAUGGAUCCGCGUCGCAUUAGCUAGUUGGUAAGGUAACGGCUUACCAAGGCAACGAUGCGUAGCCGACCUGAGAGGGUGAUCGGCCACACUGGAACUGAGACACGGUCCAGACUCCUACGGGAGGCAGCAGUAGGGAAUCUUCCGCAAUGGGCGAAAGCCUGACGGGGCAACGCCGCGUGAGUGAAGAAGGUCUUCGGAUCGUAAAACUCUGUUAUUAGGGAAGAACAAAUGUGUAAGUAACUAUGCACGUCUUGACGGUACCUAAUCAGAAAGCCACGGCUAACUACGUG